GCCAGCAUAGUGUAAUGGUUAGGCAUUGGACUAUGACUCUGAGGACCAGGGUUUGAAUUCCUGUUCAGUCA